UACGUAGGGUGCAAGCGUUAAUCGGAAUUACUGGGCGUAAAGCGUGCGCAGGCGGCUUUGCAAGACAGAUGUGAAAUCCCCGGGCUUAACCGGGGAACUGCGUCUGAUACUGGAUGGCUGGAGUUUGGGAGAGGGAUGCGGAAUUCCAGGUGUAGCGGUGAAAUGCGUAGAUAUCUGGAGGAACACCGGUGGCGAAGGCGGCAUCCUGGACCAAUACUGACACUGAGGAGCGAAAGCCAGGGGAGCAAACGGG
rnacentral:rRNA from 1 species